rnacentral:rRNA from 1 species
GACGAACGCUGGCGGCGUGCUUAACACAUGCAAGUCGAACGAAGUGGCGAACGGGUGAGUAACGCGUAAUUAACCUGCCCUUCAGAGGGGGACAACAGUUGGAAACGACUGCUAAUACCGCAUACUGAAGGAGGGGAUUGCGUCUGAUUAGCUAGUUGGAGGGGUAACGGCCCACCAAGGCGAUGAUCAGUAGCCGGUCUGAGAGAAUGAGCGGCCACAUUGGACCUGAUGCACGGCCCAGACUCCUACGGGAGGCAGCAGUGGGAAAUCUUCCGCAAUGGAAGAAGGUCUGACGAAGCAACGCCGCGUGAGUGAUGACGGCCUUCGGGUUGUAAAGCUCUGUUAGUCGGGACGCGGUACCGGAAUAGAAAGCCACGGCUAACUACGUGCCAGCAGCCGCGGUAAUAC